UACGUAGGGGCCUAGCGUUGUCCGGAAUUAUUGGGCGUAAAGAGCUCGUAGGCGGUCUGUCGCGUCUGCUGUGAAAACUCAGGGCUUAACCCUGAGCUUGCAGUGGGUACGGGCAGACUAGAGUGCGGUAGGGGAGACUGGAAUUCCUGGUGUAGCGGUGAAAUGCGCAGAUAUCAGGAGGAACCCCGGUGGCGAAGGCGGGUCUCUGGGCCGUAACUGACGCUGAGGAGCGAAAGCAUGGGGAGCGAACAGG
rnacentral:rRNA from 1 species